GACGACAUUAGACGAAUCAUCUGGAAAGAUGAAUCAAAGAAGGUAAUAAUCCUGUAGUCGAAAAUGUUGUCUCUCUUGAGUGGAUCCUGAGUACGACGGAGCACGUGAAAUUCCGUCGGAAUCUGGGAGGACCAUCUCCUAAGGCUAAAUACUCUCUAGUGACCGAUAGUGAACCAGUACCGUGAGGGAAAGGUGAAAAGCACCCCGGAAGGGGAGUGAAAUAGAACCUGAAACCGUGUGCUUACAAGUAGUCAGAGCCCGUUAAUGGGUGAUGGCGUGCCUUUUGUAGAAUGAACCGGCGAGUUACGAUUUGAUGCAAGGUUAAGCAGUAAAUGUGGAGCCGUAGCGAAAGCGAGUCUGAAUAGGGCGUUUAGUAUUUGGUCGUAGACCCGAAACCAGGUGAUCUACCCUUGGUCAGGUUGAAGUUCAGGUAACACUGAAUGGAGGACCGAACCGACUUACGUUGAAAAGUGAGCGGAUGAACUGAGGGUAGCGGAGAAAUUCCAAUCGAACCUGGAGAUAGCUGGUUCUCUCCGAAAUAGCUUUAGGGCUAGCCUCAAGUGAUGAUUAUU
rnacentral:rRNA from 1 species